AUGACGACGGCGUCCAGCGCCUGCGCGCGGCGCUCCGGAAGUGACUCUGCCGGAAGAGCGCUGAGGGUCGCGCCAUGGCCCGAAAGGCGGCGCGGGGGCCGCAGGAGGAGACGUUGUCACUCUGGAAACGGGAGCAAGCCCGGCUGAAGGCUCUUGUCGUGGACCGGGACACGGAGGCGUGGCAGCGAGACCCCGCUUUCUCGGGCCUGCAGAGGGUCGGGGGCGUGGACGUGUCCUUUGUGAAGGACGACAGUGUCAGCGCUUGCGCCUCGCUGGUGGUGCUCAACUACCCUGAGCUCGAGGUGGUGUAUGAGGACUGCCGCAUGGUGAGCCUGACCGCCCCCUAUGUGUCGGGCUACCUGGCCUUCCGAGAGGUUCCCUUCCUGGUGGACGCGGUGCAGCGGCUGCAAGAGAAGGACCCUCAACUCGUGCCCCAGGUCCUUUUUGUGGAUGGAAAUGGGGUGCUCCACCACCGAGGCUUUGGGGUGGCUUGCCACCUCGGUGUCCUUACAGACAUGCCCUGCAUCGGGGUGGCCAAGAAGCUCCUGCAGGUGGACGGGCUGGAGAAUGACGCCGCGCACAGGGAGAAGAUACGGCUCCUGAGGGCUGGAGGAGACUCUUUUCCUCUGAUGGGAGGUUCCGGCGCUGUCCUGGGCAUGGCCCUGAAGAGCCACGACCACAGCACCAAGCCCCUCUACGUCUCCGUGGGCCACAAGAUGAGCCUGGAGACAGCCGUGCGCCUGACCCACAGCUGCUGCAGGUUUCGGAUCCCGGAGCCCGUGCGCCAGGCUGACAUCCGCUCCCGAGACUACAUCCGCAGGACCCUGGCAGUCCAAGGGGCCCCUGUCCUGCAGCCGGAGAGGAGCGGGAAGGCGCAGAGGCCAAAGGCGUGCCCCAAGGGAGUUUCAGAAGAGCCCGCAGGCCGCCACUGAAUCCACAACAGGGGGAGUCUGGUCACCACCGGGGGCCAGGGUGUCAGAGCCCUGGGCCAGGAGAUGCCCUCUCCGGGCACUUGGAUGUUUUCCGGGGCCCGUGACCUCACACUGUGCUGCUGCCAAGCUGGAGAAGGACGGCAGCCUCUCCAUGCGUGUCUUGUCUGCCACACUAGACCGAGGAGCGUCAAACAGGAAUGCAUUCUGGUGCAGCCGGGAGGCUAGACGUCUGAAGGCACGGUGUCAGCAGGUCUUGGUUCCGCGGUCCCUUGGUUCACCUCUUCUCUCCCAGGAUGUCUGUGAAAACCACAGUCCCUCGUGCCUCGAGCAAGGCGCUCCCUUCACCUUCAGCCUCCUGCCUGGGCCCCUGGCAGCGGGGAGAGGGCGAGCCCACCUUCCGGACCGACAGAAGCCACCAGGGUACUUUCCUAAGCUGAGUCAAGCCAGCCUAUGACCUGAACCAGCUCCCUGGGUACAUGAAAGCAGCCGGUUUUAUUUCAAAGAGCAUUUCUGGUUUUUUCUUCUUUCUACAUCUGCGCUAACAUUCUGUGAUUCUUAGAGAACCAGAAUUCUGAAGAGCAAAGCCCAGAGCCAAGAAUGUUUAAGCCAGAAGGGGUUUCUCUGAAGAAGAAAACAGACCCGGCCUCUGCCCCGCCCCAGUUCUGGCUGAGGGGGUGCGGAGCUGUGCAGACCACUCGGGCCGGCUGGCACUGCCAAGGCAACACGGGUGCAGCGAAGCAUGACCACAGGGAGGGCUCAUUUGCCCUGGGCAGGGGGUCGAAGAUGAGUAGGGUUUUAGUCAAGCAAGUUAUUUCUUGGAUGUGACACCAAAAGUUCAGGCAAUAAAAACAAAAUAGAUACGUAGGAUUUCAUCAAAAUAAAACACUUUCAGGUAUCCAACAGUACCUUGGAGAGAGUGAAAAGACAGCCGACAGAAUGGGAGAAAAUACUCCCAACACACACAUCCAACAAAAGAUUAACAUUCUGUAACUCGACAGCCAAGAAACAAACACCUGAUUUUAACAUGGCCAAAGGAUGUGCAUGGGCAUUUGCCAUAAGUGGCCAUAAGCCGUAAGUACACUGCUGGUUGGAAUGUAAAAUGCUACCGCCUCUGUGGAAACGGGGCGGCAGUUCCUCAAAGCCCAUAUGCACAGAAUUGCCCUGUGACAGCGCCUAGGGAGAACCCCGAAAGCAUCGAAAGUAAGGACUCAAACGGAUACUUGAACCCCCGUGUUCUCAGCACUGUUCGCCACAGCCGAAUAGUGGGAUGAACCCGUGGCCAUCAGCAGAUGAGUGGGUAAAUCAGUGUGGUCCGUCCGUGCAAUGGAAUAUUAUGCAGCCAUGAAAGGAAUGACCUCUGACACCUGCUGCAGCAUGGACGAACCUCGAAAACUUUACACUAAGUGGAAGAAGCCCGACACAAAAGGACCAAUAGUGUCUGAUUCACUUAUAUGAGGUCCCCGGGGGAGGUAAAUUCAGGGACAGAAAGUAACUUAGCCAUUUCAGGGGCUGGGGGAGCAGGGAGGGAGUUAGAUUUACUGAGUACAGGGUUUCUGUUUGGGGUGAUAAAGGCGUGUUAGAAAUCGAUAGCAGUGAUAGUUGUACAACAUCGUGACUAUAAUUAAUGCCAAUGAAGUGUACACUUAAAAAUGGUGAAAAUGGUACGUUUUAU